rnacentral:rRNA from 1 species
AUUGAACGCUGGCGGCAGGCUUAACACAUGCAAGUCGAGCGGGGUGAUGGUGCUUGCACUAUCACUUAGCGGCGGACGGGUGAGUAAUGCUUAGGAAUCUGCCUAUUAGUGGGGGACAACAUCUCGAAAGGGAUGCUAAUACCGCAUACGUCCUACGGGAGAAAGCAGGGGAUCACUUGUGACCUUGCGCUAAUAGAUGAGCCUAAGUCGGAUUAGCUAGUUGGUGGGGUAAAGGCCUACCAAGGCGACGAUCUGUAGCGGGUCUGAGAGGAUGAUCCGCCACAAUGGGACUGAGACACGGCCCAGACUCCUACGGGAGGCAGCAGUGGGGAAUAUUGGACAAUGGGGGGAACCCUGAUCCAGCCAUGCCGCGUGUGUGAAGAAGGCCUUAUGGUUGUAAAGCACUUUAAGCGAGGAGGAGGCUCUUUUGGUUAAUACCCAAGAUGAGUGGACGUUACUCGCAGAAUAAGCACCGGCUAGCUCUGUGCCAGCCGCCGCAGUAACAC